CGCCCGGCCCUAUCCCCAUCGCCGGCAGCGUCUCCCUUCAGCUCCGGCCGCCACCCUCCCUCCGACCACCAUGGCUCCAACCACUCAUUCACGCAAGCAGGAGCGCCCCCCUGAUUCGGCUGUCCUCCUCCACUCUCUGGAUCAGAUUCGUCCCCGUAGACCCCCUGCUCCUAGGCGUCUCCGUCCCUUCUCCAUCUCCCACCAAAUGUGCUUCCAGGUUGUGCCUGCAAGUAGUCAUGGAGGCUUUCUUUCUCCAUAGUCUGUGAUUUGGGCUACUGCAAGUGAAAAGUUCACCAGUUCAUUUUGCUUCGAGUUGUGCCAUUCCGUAGGGAUGUUACAUGUUGCAGAAGCUUGGAGUACAUGGCGUUGUAACCCUGAAUGAACCAUUUGAGACUUUAGUACCAUCAUCAGUAUAUAAGGCAAGUAACACACAAAUAAUUUUAUACUGUAUGUAAAAGAUGGAUAGCAUUGUACAGAGCCUUCAACCCUUUUUAAUUGCACGGAAUUGUGUCUACAUUCUAAUCAUAACUGUUGCAAUUUGAGUCAUGACCAACUGGCUACCACUCUAAUCUAUUUGUUCAGACUUCUUGUUUCUCUAAAGCGGCCAAAUCCCCGUGCACCUGGUAGUCCAAACAUACACCAGAUGACCGGUGACCAACUUCCCUGCCUCUACAAGCUCCUCGAGGAUGACUUGGUGGUAGCCGGGAUCCCCUAAAGCGGCCAAAUCCCGCUGCACCCAGCCGUCGCUCGUGAUCCCCUCUCCUUCAGCUCCACUUCGCGGCACUGUCAGUCCACAGGAGUAGGGGCAGGUGCCCAUCAACAAAAAGGAACAAACGGUAUAUGCUUGGAAACUUAAAACUCUGUACACAUUUGGGAAACAUAUGUUAUAGCUUCUUUCAAAGUUCAAAACAGAUGGUAUAGGAAGUACAUGUAUUCAUGUGGGUGCUUGAAAGUUCUGUACAGGAAUAGGCCAAUGAUUUUUGUGCUAUGGAUAAUAUGAUUUAUGUACAUGUAUUAUAUGUGUGGAAACAAUUUCUGUGAGAUGAUGAAA